GCAUAAUUAUUAUGUUCAUUAUUUUAUUAUGUAGUACUAUUCCAAAUUUUCACGUAAUUGCAAUUUCUUAUCUAUUUACAUUUAGUUGAGCGUUUAAAGCCUGAAGUGAACUGUGUUUUCCAGAGUUUUCUUUUCUGAAGUUUAUUGUUUUGUAAUAAACAAGGCUUAGGUUAAGAUAAUCUAUAAUUUUCCUUCGUUUUAUGUCUUUAUUAUAAAAGGUUAUAAACAUAUCGAUAACGCUACGUAGGCUUUUAUUAUAUUUAUUCAUAACAAUUGAAGUAUUCGUGUGUAUACUAUGUAUAUAUUGCGUAGAUUUGUUAAUUAUUAGAUAUUUCAGUACUCAAUAUAAUUUCUCCUUUUGUUAUGCCAAUUUUGAUCAAUUGAAGGGCUUCCGUCGGUCCACCAUUUCGCCAACGUAACACAAGGGGCAUCAGUUGUAUCACGGGCAUGCGUAUUCAACGGGCAUUAACCAGUAAUUUUUAAACUCUUUCGUAUGAGUAUUAUAAACAUCAUAUAAAAUAUGUUCAAUAAUACAGUCAUAUGUUCGUCAUUUAACAAUGUUUGUUACACAAGUAACAUGAAUCGAGCUCUAGGAAGUUUUCGACUGUUGUCUAUUCUUCGGACUUGGAGUAGACAUUGUACGGAAGAUAGACAUUUUGUCAGCUUAAUUGUUCUUGUUUAUUCACAAAAACAAGCAAGCGUGGUUUUACAUAAUAAAACACAUUUUACAUUAGUAGAACACGCAGCCAUGACAACGAAAUGUUCACCUUCGCUACAUAAUUAGUUUCCAUAUUUUUGGAAUGGAUAUUUAUGGAACUCAAUUUCAAUAAUAGCAUUUGUGUGUAAACCAUUAUUAUACAAAACCUGCGUGACAAGGCAGUUAAGGUAGUUGACAGGUUUACUAUAGAGGUCAUAUAAAACAUGUAGCUGCACUCAAUUCCUGGUUCAUGUUUUAUACGAUAAAGUAAAUAGGUUUAGCAACAAUACAACUAUAGAAAUAUUAGAUUUCGCCUAACCGCUGACUAGGAAAUAGUAGGAAUUAUUAAAUCGUAACCUAAAUCAUGAUGCGUAACGGGCAACGAUUGAGUUUAUGAAGUGCAAAUCACUUUCGAACUAAACAUGCAAUACACAGAAAUAUUGUACAAUAAUUCCCUUAAAGCUGCAACACAAAUGAAAUAGGUGCUGAAAAUUUAUUUACUUAAUAAAUUUUAAUGCUGCAUCAGCAAAUAAUACGUUAAAAACCUAUCCUAAAAAUAAAUAACGUGAGGCGUAUUUUCCUUUAGUAAUGUGUAAUUUAUUGUUUUGAUUCAAUUAUACUGUCUACUAUUUCAAUUACAGUAACAGAGUAUUUGUUGCAGCAUUGGUUAACCUUAUAGCCUCUGUGAACACUGAGAAAUAUGUAGUAUGGCUAUGGACCAAAUAGAUUUGUUGAAAAACAUUGUUUAAGUUUUGAUUGAGAUCAUCAUCGGCCUAGCCUUUUCUCAACUAUGUUGGGGUCGGCUACCAUUUUGAUUGAGAUACCUUUCAAAAAUUGAAGAGUGAAUUAUUUAUUUGUUUCUGUUUUAGAUAAAUAUUCGACAAUAUCCGUUCUUUGCGACGUGAAAUUUAAAGUCUCAUUUAUAAAUAACUUAAUUACUUAUUGAUAAAUUAUAUCUGAUAAUAACGCUUGAUAUUUAAGCUUUGCCUAUAGUUUUUACGAAUUGUUCAUUAUUUGAUGAUUAUUUGUAGGUAGUUAACAUUUUCUUACUUAGAUAUAAUUAAUUGGCGAUUUGCACUUGUUUGUCUUUGUCAUAUCAUGCGUGCUAUCUCUUUCAGCUUAUCUUAUUUGUAUUGGUACGAUGAAAUUUUUAAAGUAUUAUAACGCGUUUAAUUAUAACGUAGUGUAACCUCGUGCGUAAUGUCAGUAUGGCUCUGAAGUGAGUGUAGAAUACUAAUAUCGUUUUAGUUAUUAGUAUGGUAUCGACGGAAGUGGACGUGGUCGCUCGUUCUGCGCCAAUCUGUUCCGAUACCGUUCAUAUGUGUCGUGAUCGCGCAAAUAGCGUGCUGCCUCUGUACUGCAGACGCCUGCACUUGAUCGUGAAAGUUUAUUACAACUGGCCUCAAACACUAGAACCGUUACUAAAAGAAAUCGCCUUGUUUUGAGAUAAAGGUUGUUACGUCACUAUAAAUAUUGGUUUUAGCAAAGUGUAAAAUGGUUUGCCAGUUCAGUUCAUAUGAAACGCUACAACGGACACAUUGUGCAUA